GUAAGGUAGUCUCAUCGAUUCAAAUAAUGCUCUCCUUGAUAAUACUCAAACCAUCGUCCGAGUCAUAAUUUGCUAUAUACUCUUCCAUCAAUUCCACAUCAAUUGGCAACAAGUUAUCUAACCCUCACAAAAAUUGAUAUAACUAAGCAUUUCUAAAAUGUCUUUGCCUUUGUCGACACCAACACAUUUCCAACUUCAUUGGUUCCAUAUUAGUAAAAACCACUAGGGAUGUUGAUUCCAAAUUACUCUUAGCUUUUAUAUUUUAGCAACUUUCUUCUCUGUCUGUAGUUCUCUUCACUCUUUCCAUUGCUAUUGUGGAAUACUUGCUUCUCACUCCUUGCUCACACUAAUACUACUUUUUUAUUUACUGAAAUAAAUCCUACACUCUAAUAGUUACAACCCAAACAACAAUGUUCAAAAUGAUGAAGAAAACUUCUAUGA
rnacentral:lncRNA from 1 species